rnacentral:rRNA from 1 species
AUUGAACGCUGGCGGCAGGCCUAACACAUGCAAGUCGAACGAGUGGCGGACGGGUGAGUAAUGUCUGGGAAACUGCCUGAUGGAGGGGGAUAACUACUGGAAACGGUAGCUAAUACCGCAUACCAUCGGAUGUGCCCAGAUGGGAGUAGCUAGUAGGUGGGGUAACGGCUCACAUAGGCGAGGAUCCCUAGCUGGUCUGCGAGGAUGACCAGCCACACUGGAACUGAGACACGGUCCAGACUCCUACGGGAGGCAGCAGUGGGGAAUAUUGCACAAUGGGCGCAGGCCUGAUGCAGCCAUGCCGCGUGUAUGAAGAAGGCCUUCGGGUUGUAAAGUACUUUCAGCGGGGAGGCGUUACCCGCAGAAGAAGCACCGGCUAACUCCGUGCCAGCAGCCGCGGUAAUUC